rnacentral:rRNA from 1 species
GACGAACGCUGGCGGCGUGCUUAACACAUGCAAGUCGAACGCGCCUGUCCUCUGGGUUUCUGGGGGGUGGGUGAGUGGCGAACGGGUGAGUAACACGUGAGUAACCUGCCCCCUUCUUCGGGAUAACGGUCUGAAAGGGCUGCUAAUACCGGGUAUUCACUGGUCUCCGCAUGGGGUCUGGUGGAAAGGUUUUUUUCUGGUGGGGGAUGGGCUCGCGGCCUAUCAGCUUGUUGGGGGGGUGAUGGCCCACCAAGGCUUUGACGGGUAGCCGGCCUGAGAGGGUGACCGGUCACAUUGGGACUGAGAUACGGCCCAGACUCCUACGGGAGGCAGCAGUGGGGAAUAUUGCACAAUGGGCGCAAGCCUGAUGCAGCGACGCCGCGUGAGGGAUGGAGGCCUUCGGGUUGUGAACCUCUUUCGCCCGUGGUCAAGCCGCGACGUGGGUCGUGGUGAGGGUAGUGGGUAAAGAAGCGCCGGCUAACUACGUG